GAGCCGCGUGCGCAGGCGCGCCGGGGCGGAGGCCACCUUGGGCCGCGUCGUCACGCGCCGUGGAGAGCGCUGGGCGGGCGGAGCCUUGUGGCCUGGAGUAGUGAAGUCGCCCCGCAGGUUUCCCAAGUCUCGCGUGAUCACUUGGUGGCCCCCCCACAGGCGGAAGUGUCCGACAGCUUUUUUGGGAUAAGGAGCUUUUAAAGUAUUGCUGGAAGCGACGAAUUUUGAGAGACACGCGGAAUGUAGUCUGGACAAGUGAAGGAGUUUAUCCUCAUAAAGCAAAACGAAAUGUCACAGUUAUAUGCCUCUGAAUGCAGAUUUGGAGAAUAUCAAAGGCAGCUUACCAGAGAGGAAAAUAUGCGACCUGCCAGGACCUGAAGGAAGAACUUAGAGAAAGCAGAGCCAUUAAUACUCAGAAAAUGGGAAGUUGUCGGAGAAGAAGGCAGAUAGAACCGGCCUUUAAGCUGCUGAGCAGGUAUUCCCUUUGGGAUGGCCAAUAUCGUUCCUUGUAUGGUAAGGAGACACCAAGAUAGAAAUAAGAAGUAGAAGUACAGAAUAUAAGCAGGAACAUAUGAAGGGAAAGAAGAUCGAGUGUCCCAGACUCUUGGAAUCAGAUUUAAUGCUCCCAACAUUAGAAAAAUAGGCCUUUCCCCCAUUUCUACCCUAGAGUCUUCUGCCUUUUAGAUCUGUUACAAUAUUGUAAUUAUCAAACUCUGAAUUUGGGGGGAGAGCUCAUAUACUAAAAGCUUAGUUUUAAAACAGCUUUUAAAAUUAUCUUUUCCACUUAUACUUCCUGUAAAGUCUGAAUUAAAGAGACAUGCAACUGUCUAUAGGCUUGAGGUAUAAAAAGAGCUCCCAAAUGCCCUGACAAAUGC